rnacentral:lncRNA from 1 species
CCCCUGUGUUUUCAAGUUGUUUACAAGUUUCUGCCAUUGCCUUUUUCCCUUGAAAAAUAAUUUUCUUCCUUAUUAAUUCGACCAAUCAGAAUUAAUUGCGCUUUUAUGACAUAUCCACAGCAAGAACAAUUUAAACCCAAACAAAUUAGACCCAGUUUCGAGUAAGCUCAUGUGUUUUUAAAGCCAAUAAAAAUGGAUGUUCAACCCAUCCAAAGCAUCUUGAUAAUCAAUAACCCUGAAGACAAAUAAAGGAUGGUAAGUAUAAUAACAAAAUUAACCGUUAAACAACAUACUAAUAUAUUCUUUCAUACAAAAUUUUAAAAAUAAAAAGAUAAUUUAAAAUAAUUUUUUUUUAAAAAGUAAAUAGAUUCUCGAAUACAAACCUUCAGAGUUUUGAUAUUAUUUAAGUCUAUCGAUAGUGGAACAUCAUUUGAAUGUUUUUUCCAUUGCUUUUCUCAAUCGAUUUCUCAAGGCCGGAUUUUCAAUGCUUCAAUUCUUAUUCGUUCACUUAGAAUCGUUAUAAUCUCGUAGGAUUUCACAUGCAAAACAAAAGAGAGAAAAAUAGAUCUCGAUAGUUAGUUCUAAAAAAAAUAAGAUUUAAAGGUUAACUAUUAAUCAAAAAGGAAGACAUAAUAUUAUAUCUACCAUUUUGUUGUCUUUUGAAAAUUCUUAUGACUUUGUUGUAUAGAUCGGAAAGGUGAAGUCAAUAACUGAUGAGUCUCGUAUUUGUUGGUUUUUAUCAUUUGUUUAUAGUCAUUUUAGUGUCCAAAAAGUGGAUUUAGGGGUCAUUAGGUGUUGCAUAUGUAUAUUUUGCAUGUAAAUAGGCUUGGAUGCACAAUUAGAAGUAUUGGGGAAAAAAUGAGGUUUAAUAUGCACAUUCAGAAGUUUCGGGGCCAAAGUAGAAGUUCACAAAACCACAGUGAUCAAACGUGCAAAACCAUAGAAGAUGGGUCUUGGAGCAACGAGGAAGACGAAGUGUUCGAUGGGUGUCUUCCAGCUUGCUCGUUCUGACGUCCACGGUCCCGAGCCUCGAUCCCCGAACCGACCAGCACGAAUCGAGGGCUUGAGACGAACAGACACUCGCUGUAUGAAGAACAGCUCUCUCGAUUCCACCUUCUCGGCUCGUGCGACGACUUCAACGGAGGAGACAGCUAAUCCCAGAGCUCCUGUGAACGCGGCUGACGACGGCGAUGCAGCAACAAUCUCCGGUGGUUCCGACGAGCCGCAGCAGCCGCCAUUGAUGAAGCUCGAACUCGAGCUUGAAGAAGAUGAAGCAAACGCGUUUUGGUUCAAACACUGCGUCUCAAAACGCAGUCGCGGAAAAUGGUGUUUUUCGUUUUAUCUUUGGCAUUUGAUUUUUUUUUUUUUUUUUUAGCUCAACAACAACUUUCAUUAUCCAAAUUGUGAUUACAAACAUUUUAACCUCAUAGAGAUUUAAACUUCACAUACAAUACCAAGAUCUAGUACCACCUAAAAACACUUAGAUGGAUCCUACGCUACCUAAUCUCGAAAGACAUUGUAUUUUUCACCACGAUGAGAACAAAUUCACCUCACGACUCGAGAUAAACCGUCUGUUAAACCACCUAAUUCUACCACUAAAACAAGAUAACAAAGCCAUUCAUAAGCCGUUAAGAGAUCCUCAUAGUCAAGAAAAACAAAUGAAGACCAAACCAUUGGUACCAAGAGAUCGGAGUGUGGUGCAUGACCAACGACAGCAACACCAGAUGGCGCAUGCUCCCAAUAUGAGAACUCUGAGUGACACAGAAUGUGAUGCUUUGUAACGUUGCUGGGGGGAGGGGUCGAAACAGCAUCAACCGGAGCUCCUAAACAAGGGCAAACCAGCCAAUUUGAAGCAAACGCCCAUCCCCAAAAAAGCCGGGUUGAAACUUCUACAAACCCGCAAUCCAGCAACUCUAAACAGGCAUAGGAGGAAGCAAAUCUACCAGAUUUGACACUGAAUCGAUACUGCAAAUAAUUUGCUUCGAAACAUGUACGCCACCAAGACCCUAACUCUCCCGUUGACCAGUCGAAGAAAGCUACGGUUUUUACACGUCCUGCCUCCGAGAACCGGAGGAAAGCCUUUCCCGGGAGUGCCUUCACGCCGGUUACAACUCUGCUCGUCCAACUAAAGCUUCUAUUCUCCAACCGCCAGUUAGGCCAUAGACGACCUUCCACAGUUGUUGGAUCCUGAGUAGCACGUGAAAAUCAGAGCCAGUUCAGUCAACACCCAUCAACUGUAUGCACUAUGUUCACGCCGUCGAGAGAAGAAUCCCUCUACGUUCAUUUGGCGGUAAUAGAGACGAUGAUGACGCAAACACCGACAUUGCACCACGGCCCCUACACGUGCCUCACACCUUUUGGAUCUGAACUUCAAGCCGUCUCAACAGGACCAGCCUCUAGAUCUGCCGGUGGGAUGACGAGACACAAAGUCACGCGCCUCCAUCUCCAGGAAAGAACCACCAAUUUGAAAGGGAAAACCAUCGGCAAGUUCCAACCAAGCCCUAAAAACGCCGACCCAUCCUGCAACCUCCUUAGUACCAGAGAGACGUCUUCCACCUGCCUAGCCGUGCUCCGCCGCGGUCAGAACUGAGUUAGGAGUCUCAGCCGCGCUCCAGGAUCAUUCGCAUAUCGUCAGGGUCAUAGAAGCUCGCAAGGAGGGCAAAUAGAAAAGAAGAGUAAAGGAGAGAGACACCUCCGACGCCGGAAGAGGUUACCGGACGCCGGCGGACUGCGAUGAAUUUUUUGUUUGUUUGUGGUGGCUGAGAGAGGGAGUCGAGAGAAACUAGGGUUUAUCAGUUUCCAGCCGCAUUUGAUCUAAUUUUUAAGAACCUAUAUAUAUAUAUAUAUAUAUAUGUUUUCAUAAGCCAAAAACCUUCUAUUUUUAUCAUCUAUCUUAGAGCACCUCCCACGGCUCUCUGCUCAGGAUCACGUCUCGUCGGCUCUUAUGGCAGAGGCCCUAGCAGUAAGAAGCGCUCUCCUCCACGCGAUUGAUCUCAACUUCAACUCCAUCUGGCUCCAAUCAAAUUCUCAAGUGUUCGUUGCAGCGUUAUCAUCAGGACGACAUCCGACUGAGCUCUACAGAGUGCUCUCGGAUAUCGCCACGAUCUCCUGUUCGUCCUUCUGUUUCUGUCGCUUCACUUUCAUCAAGAGAGAAUUUAAUGGGCUUGCGGACUCAUAUGCUAAGGUCUGCUUACAUUCUAGUCCAAGCCAUUGUAAUUCUUGAACUCUUUUUCUAAUUAAUGCAAUUUAGUUGUCCAAAAAAAAAUCUUAGACCACCUCCAGUGGGGUUCUUCCCAUUGGAGUUAUUAAUAUAUGAGUUAUAUAUAUAUGUAUAAGUAAUUGUGGAGUACACAAUUUUUGUGGAACCCCAUAGGUAAGGGUUCUUAAAAGAGGGUUUUAAGAAUUCUUAAGAACAUCAUUAUCGAGGGUUUCUUAGGAAAGAGUUCUUAGGAGAAUAUAAGAAACUGUUUCUUAUAUUUCCCUAAAAACUCCUUCUUAAGAAACCAUGGAUAAUAAUGCUCUAAAAACCUUUAUUUAUGGAAUUCCACAAUAAUUGUGGAUCCACAAUUAUUUACAGGUAUAUAAUAUAUACAUACAUAUAUAUACAUAAUAUAUAUUAAGAAUCUCAAUGGGAAGAUCUCCCAUUAAAGAUGGUCUUAACUUUUUUAGUUUUCUUAGUUUUAUAGCAGACUUUAACUUUCAGAAAAAUCUUUUGAACUCUGUGAUCGUUUUGUAUAUAAUCAUAUUUUCGUUUUUUUUUUUUUUUCAAUGCUGAGUAGAUGUGCAAUUGGUUUUUAGAGUUUCAAAGGGAACUCAUGGCUUGUUGACUUAAGAUUGUUAGAUUUAGAGAUUUAUCUAAUGGUUCUUCAUCUAUUGGUGUUCUUAAUGCUGAAAUUAGAGUCAUGAACUAGUUUAUGAACUUAGGUUAUUUAACGGAACGAAUGUGUUUAACUAAAUGCUUGAAAGAACUUUAGAUGAGCAAAGUGUCCUUAACCAACGGAAGUUAAUGUUAUUGCGCUUUGUGAACAUAUCAAACCUAAACUUAUUGCUUGUUUAGAAUCUGAAACUCAACGGAAGUUAGUGUGGAGGUUUCUAUAACAUAGAGAGUUAGCGCUAAGAAAGUAAGUUGAUUAUAUUAUCGUGUUUGAGUUCGAGACAUUUCUUAAUAUUUUCCCUUACUAGCAUAAAGAAUUAGUGCUACGGAAGUAGGUUGAUUAUAUCCAUGUCUGCUUGCUUAAAUCCCUGCGAUUUCCUCUUGCCCAAUGCUUCUCUUACAUUGUCACUUUCUGCAUAUUUACAUCAUUUUGCAUUGUUUCAUUUCUGCUUAGUUUUAUAAACCAAUACCCUUUUUCCUUUUUAGUCUUAGCCUUACUCUUAUCUCAUAUACUCGUCGUGUAACCACUGGUCUCUGUGGAUUCGAUCCUGAAGUGCUACAUCAACUACCAUUCGAUUGUGAUAGUGUGCACAUCAUGUUAAUUGGUGUGUGGUAAAAUGCAUAAAUCAAUAACCUUCUCCGACUAAUCGUUUUUAACACAGAUGGCUUCAGAUUCGACAUGCAAACAUUACUGAAAUGAAAAUGUUUUGAUAUCCAUCGAUGACAUAGAUUUGUAAAAAUAGAAAUACUUAGUCUAUAUAAUCAUAAAUAAAAGUAAGAGAAGAUUACUUGGUACAGAUCGGAGAAGGUAGGUUGUCGAUGAAUUUAGAACUCUCAAUCGUCUUUUUUAGUUUUGCAGAGAGAUUUUUGGUUUUUUUUUUCAUCGAAGCAUUUUGUUUUUACAAAAAUCAAUAUGCUCA